GGUUUUCGGAUCGUAAAACUCUGUUGUUAGGGAAGAACAAGUACCGUUCGAAUAGGGCGGUACCUUGACGGUACCUAACCAGAAAGCCACGGCUAACUACGUGCCAGCAGCCGCGGUAAUACGUAGGUGGCAAGCGUUGUCCGGAAUUAUUGGGCGUAAAGCGCGCGCAGGCGGUUUCUUAAGUCUGAUGUGAAAGCCCCCGGCUCAACCCGGGGAGGGUCAUUGGAAACUGGGGAACUUGAGUGCAGAAGAGGAGAGUGGAAUUCCACGUGUAGCGGUGAAAUGCGUAGAGAUGUGGAGGAACACCAGUGGCGAAGGCGACUCUCUGGUCUGUAACUGACGCUGAGGCGCGAAAGCGUGGGGAGCGAACAGGAUUAGAUACCCUGGUAGUCCACGCCGUAAACGAUGAGUGCUAAGUGUUAGAGGGUUUCCGCCCUUUAGUGCUGCAGCAAACGCAUUAAGCACUCCGCCUGGGGAGUACGGUCGCAAGACUGAAACUCAAAGGAAUUGACGGGGGCCCGCACAAGCGGUGGAGCAUGUGGUUUAAUUCGAAGCAACGCGAAGAACCUUACCAGGUCUUGACAUCCUCUGACAACCCUAGAGAUAGGAAUUCCCCUUCGGGGGCAGAGUGACAGGUGGUGCAUGGUUGUCGUCAGCUCGUGUCGUGAGAUGUUGGGUUAAGUCCCGCAACGAGCGCAACCCUUGAUCUUAGUUGCCAGCAUUCAGUUGGGCACUCUAAGGUGACUGCCGGUGACAAACCGGAGGAAGGUGGGGAUGACGUCAAAUCAUCAUGCCCCUUAUGACCUGGGCUACACACGUGCUACAAUGGGCAGAACAAAGGGCAGCGAAGCCGC
rnacentral:rRNA from 1 species